rnacentral:rRNA from 1 species
AUUGAACGCUGGCGGCAUGCUUUACACAUGCAAGUCGAACGGUAACAGGCCUUCGGGUGCUGACGAGUGGCGAACGGGUGAGUAAUGCAUCGGAACGUGCCCAGAGGUGGGGGAUAACGCAGCGAAAGCUGUGCUAAUACCGCAUGUGAUCUGAGGAUGAAAGCGGGGGACCAGGCAGCAAUGUUUGGCCUCGCGCCUUUGGAGCGGCCGAUGUCAGAUUAGGUAGUUGGUGGGGUAAAGGCCUACCAAGCCGACGAUCUGUAGCUGGUCUGAGAGGACGACCAGCCACACUGGGACUGAGACACGGCCCAGACUCCUACGGGAGGCAGCAGUGGGGAAUUUUGGACAAUGGGCGCAAGCCUGAUCCAUCAAUGCCGCGUGCGGGAAGAAGGCCUUCGGGUUGUAAACCGCUUUUGUACGGAACGAAAAGGCUCUGGCUAAUACCUGGGGCUGAUGACGGUACCGUAAGAAUAAGCACCGGCUAACUACGUG